CGGACGGGUGAGUAACGCGUGGGUAACCUGCCUCACACUGGGGACAACAGUUAGAAAUGACUGCUAAUACCGCAUAAGCGCACAGGAUCGCAUGGUCCGGUGUGAAAAACUCCGGUGGUGUGAGAUGGACCCGCGUUUGAUUAGCUAGUUGGUGGGGUAACGGCCUACCAAGGCGACGAUCAAUAGCCGACCUGAGAGGGUGACCGGCCACAUUGGGACUGAGACACGGCCCAA
rnacentral:rRNA from 1 species